rnacentral:rRNA from 1 species
AUUGAACGCUGGCGGCAUGCCUUACACAUGCAAGUCGAACGGCAGCACGGGGGCAACCCUGGUGGCGAGUGGCGGACGGGUGAGUAAUGCAUCGGAACGUGCCCUGAAGUGGGGGAUAACGCAGCGAAAGCUACGCUAAUACCGCAUAUUCUGUGAGCAGGAAAGCAGGGGAUCGCAAGACCUUGCGCUUUGGGAGCGGCCGAUGUCGGAUUAGCUAGUUGGUGGGUAAAGGCCUACCAAGGCGACGAUCCGUAGCGGGUCUGAGAGGAUGAUCCGCCACACUGGGACUGAGACACGGCCCAGACUCCUACGGGAGGCAGCAGUGGGGAAUUUUGGACAAUGGCGAAAGCCUGAUCCAGCCAUGCCGCGUGAGUGAAG